AGCGAACGCUGGCGGCAGGCCUAACACAUGCAAGUCGAACGGAUCCUUCGGGAUUAGUGGCGGACGGGUGAGUAACACGUGGGAACGUGCCCUUUGGUUCGGAACAACUCAGGGAAACUUGAGCUAAUACCGGAUGUGCCCUUCGGGGGAAAGAUUUAUCGCCAUUGGAGCGGCCCGCGUAGGAUUAGCUAGUUGGUGGGGUAAAGGCCCACCAAGGCUACGAUCCUUAGCUGGUCUGAGAGGAUGAUCAGCCACAUUGGGACUGAGACACGGCCCAAACUCCUACGGGAGGCAGCAGUGGGGAAUCUUGCGCAAUGGGCGAAAGCCUGACGCAGCCAUGCCGCGUGAAUGAUGAAGGUCUUAGGAUUGUAAAAUUCUUUCACCGGGGACGAUAAUGACGGUACCCGGAGAAGAAGCCCGGCUAACUUCGUGCCAGCAGCCGCGGUAAU
rnacentral:rRNA from 1 species